CUCAAGGGUGUAGCUCAGACACUGCAGUAGAAGGUAGGGCUUGGCUGCUGCACUAUACAAUGCGCUGAAAGAUGGUGCACCAGGAAAAAUGUGUUUACCAGGCCCAGAGGAAUGAGAGGGAGUCCAUUAGGCAGAAGCUGGCCCUUGGCAGUUUCUAUGACGACGGACCGGUUACCUUUACUGGCUGCAGCAAGAGCAGCAAAAACGGCCUGUCCUCACGGGUGUAAAAGUAUGCAAACAUGACGGGUUCGGUACGCACCUCGGUUUUGAUGUCACGGUUCGGUACAGCAGGGAGAAA